GACGAACGCUGGCGGCGUGCCUAAUACAUGCAAGUAGAACGCACAGUUUAUAUCGUAGCUUGCUACACCAUAGACUGUGAGUUGCGAACGGGUGAGUAACGCGUAGGUAACCUGCCUGGUAGCGGGGGAUAACUAUUGGAAACGAUAGCUAAUACCGCAUAAUAUUAAUUAUUGCAUGAUAAUUAAUUGAAAGGUGCAAUUGCACCACUACCAGAUGGACCUGCGUUGUAUUAGCUAGUAGGUGAGGUAACGGCUCACCUAGGCGACGAUACAUAGCCGACCUGAGAGGGUGAUCGGCCACACUGGGAAUGAGACACGGCCCAGACUCCUACGGGAGGCAGCAGUGGGGAAUCUUCGGCAAUGGACGAAAGUCUGACCGAGCAACGCCGCGUGAGUGAAGAAGGUUUUCGGAUCGUAAAGCUCUGUUGUAAGAGAAGAACGGGUGUGAGAGUGGAAAGUUCACACUGUGACGGUAACUUACCAGAAAGGGACGGCUAACUACGUG
rnacentral:rRNA from 1 species